CUUAUCAACCAGUUCUGCCUCCUGAUCAGCCCCGGAGUCCGCUGUCCUGAAUCUUCCUGCUCCUGCUUCAUCCACUGUCUUUGGCAAUAGGAACUUUCCUAUUUC